rnacentral:lncRNA from 1 species
GUCAUCGGGGAGCGCCGGCAGCGGCGACUCGCAGUGUCUGCGCACGGGGCAGCUGGAGGUUCUCGAGGGCCUCCGGGUGGAGAUGAACCGGUUAACAGUUGCCUUGGGCCGGGAGGCUCUGCUGACGCCAAGCUGCGGCCGGAAGAGAACGAUCGAGACGCCCCGAGGCCUUUUACGGAGACCUGAAAGCCUGGCUUGUGGGUGGAAAGAAGUGUUGAAACGUGUAAACCCUUGUGCACUGUUGGGAACGUGAAGGUGCAGCCGCCGGAAACGGCCGUGGGGUUCCUCAGAAAGGUAAAGGUAGGACUGUGGCAAGCCCCCACCUGGGGGACACCCAGGAGAACCGAAGGCACGGACUGGGCGGUCGGUGCGACUCGGCAGCCUCGUCACCACAGCCAAGUGGAAGCAGCGCCAGUGUGUGUGCAGAACAGAAUGUCCACGUGCAUGUGAUGGGAUGUUAUUCACCCUUGGAAAGGAAUGAAGUUUGACCUGUGCUAUAACGUGGACGAACUUCGAAAACUAUGCUAAGUAAAAGUGUGGGUUCCACUACCCCUGCCAGAAGAAUCAGAUCAAAGCAGAAACAAGACUUUAUUCUUAGGCUUGAGCAUAAAGGAGGGGGAGACGGACAUUCCAGGCUGACUCAAAGGCAAAGGUGUGCAGCUUUCAUGACAUCCACGGGACUGCUGCUCGAUGUCAUGAGGGCAGAGGCACAGUGUUAGCUGGGCCUGGUCUUCAUCGUGCCUCUUGAGUGCCAUUCAUACCUGUCUCAAUGGGCAAAGAUGCGACUCAUACAGUUGAGGGGGAGAAAUAAAGAAUGCCCAUGCACUUCUGCCCCUUUCUAUGUUUUAUUCACUCAAAUCACGCAAUACAAUUUUACUCUGUAGGUUUUUUUUUUUAAUUUUUUUUAGAUGUAAAUGGACACAAUAAACUUUGUUUUAUUUUUAUGUGGUGCUGAGGAUCAAACCCAUUGCCUCACACGUGCCAGGCAGACACUCUGCCCCGGAGCUACAGCCCCAGCCCACUCUGUAGGUUCUUAAUCAAGAAAAUGUGAUCCUUAAUGCUGGGCACUGAAAGAGACAUAAUCAAUCCAUAGCAAACAAUUCUAAGUUAAUUCCAAGCACUGCAGUCACACUUAAUCAUGACAGACAUUCCCUCUGCAGGCUAAGCUCAAGUGCCAGAUCUAAAGUCUCCAGCCUUAGGCUUUAAGUCCAGCAGAUGCACACUGUCUCAGACCUCAGUGAUCACUUGAGGAACCAAGGCAGGUUUCUCCAUGAGGAGAGGGUCAUAAGGGGAAGUUGCUGUUCUCACCAGGGUUAAGAUGUGGUUGUAGAGUUUGAAAGAGGUGAGGAAGAUGCAGAGGAUCAGGCAGAUGAUGAGAAGAGUUGGGAUGUCAGUCCAGGUCCUCAUCAGGCUCUCAGUGAGGGUAUCAGUGUCACUGGCUGAAUGUCUAUUCAUUGGUCCCAUCAUUUAUACUAAAUUUUUUCAAUCCCUAUCAGCUGUUACCAGGUUUCUCAGUGACAUCAUUUGUCCUGAGUUUAAGGCAUCUGGUCUGGUGAUUCCCACCCUGAUUUUCUCACCUCUUGCCUUUAUCAGGGCGAGGGCAAUGUGACAGGCAGUCUUUGAGUUUGUCAGAAUUUUGAGAAGUGACUGCUUUUAUCAGGCUGUGUCUGAUGACCAUAUUGGAGGUCUCCCUAAGUGAACCUGGUGGGGACUGCAGUUUUGUUUCAAAAUGGAGUUACUUAAGGCCAUCCUUACAAUGUCUCAUUACCAUCUUAAUCCAUCUGCCCAUUGUCCCAGAGGUGGAGCACCUAUAAAGCUAAGCAAUAAAUAUGCUACUAUGGUAACUUUGAAGUAACUAUUUUUAGAGUUUUAAUGACAAAAUAUUAUGUGCUAUGUACUGAACUGAUGCAUAAUAUAAGAAAUUAUGGAAGUAUUUUUUAGAACUGGGUUGUCAUUUUAUUUCAAGGAAUGCACUGUAUUUCAAACUGUAUUUCAAAUUCAGUGGUGGAAAAUAACUGUCCUAUACAUAGGACGCUGGGACACUGUGGACUGCACAGUAACAGGCAUUGGAUUGCCUGAAAGUUCUGGGCCGCAGAAGCAAUAUCCGCCUGCCCUCAUUAUCCUCUUUGUACAUCAAAAUUCAUCUUUGCCUCUGCCUGGAGUUCAAAGAGGCUGACUUAUAUGGCCUGUGUUUUCCCUCUGGCUUCCUGUUGGACUUGCCCAAUUAAAGGCACAGCCAGAAAGGAGAUGAGGGUCAGAGUGUUAUUCUCCAUGAUUGUUGUGUCACAAUCUCCAUGACUGUUGUGAUGGCCCACUGUUUAAGUCCUAAUUUUCAAUUGCAUCUUUUAACCCUGUAAGACUGGCUGAGGCUGAGCACAGCAUCUGCUGCCUCAGCACUGGCUGGUUUUACUAGCAGAGAACAAUAAGGUGGGUAAUAAUUGCCACCUCUUUUGCAGUCCCUGGUGUUUCACCAUGUCUGGUCAGUUCCCACAAUCCUGUCUGUAUCUUUGUAAAUGUUCAUUUUUUUAUACUCUCUUCAAACACCCCUUUUCUGUGCCAUUCUUUUGCUGUUAAGGCCCUGGCUACUGUACUGCCUUUAAUAGUCAUAGCAAGCUAGAUAUAUAAAUAAAUGUUUUAUGCCUGAUGCUGUAAUAAAGAUAAACCAAAAGCACACUGGAUGUAUAAUUGAAUAUUUCUAGUCAUCUACUUAAAAUCCAUUUUCCAGCCAGGCACAAUGGCACAUGCCUGUAACCCUAACAGCUCAGGAAGCUGAGGAAGGAGGAUUGCAAGUUCAAAGCCAGCCUCAGCAAAAAGCAAGGGACUAAGCAAUUCAGUGAGACCCUAUCUCUAAAUAAAAUACAAAAUAGGGUUGGGGAUGUGGCUCAGUGGAUGAGUGCCUCUAAGUUCAAUCCCUGGUACCCCCCCAAAAAAAAUCAAUUUUCCUUUUCUUCCUUGAGAAUAAAGUGGUUCUAUAAAUGCUUGAAAUAGUCAAGAACACACAAUCACACUCUGAAUCACACUAUUUUUUUCCAACAGUCUGUUCACUGCUUAUGAUUUGUUGAUACAUCUUUGAAAUGUUGGAUUCUAAGCACCAGGCACUGUGAGGAAAAACAGACUGAACAAGUAUCUUCUGAAACCAACGACCUUGAUGAUAAAAUAAGCAAGAGGGUCACCUGAUUACAGAUUCAGUGCUCAUGAUGAAGUCCUUGCUGUAAAAUGGUGGGAUAAUAAACGUGUCCUUGUUGGAAUGAACUACAGUACAAUGGAGUACUCCACAGCUGUCCGCGGUAGAGAACCUCAGUGAAGAGCAGGUGAAGGCGGGCACCGUAGCACAUCCCGCAGUCCCAGUGCCCUCAUGUUGAGCUCCAGACCCAAAAAUGAAAAGGGCUGGGGAUACAGCCCAGAGGCAAGGCACCCUUGUGUUUAAUGCCCAGUACAAAAGAAAAGGAAAAAAAAGAUUGGGGCUGGGGCUGGGGCUCAGCGGUAGAGCACUUGCCUAGCAUGUGUGAGGCACUGGGUUUGAUCCUCACCACCACAUAAAAAUAAGUAAAAUAAAGGUAUUGUGUCCAUCUACAACUAAAUAGAUAUUUUAAAAGAUUAUGAGCCAAUGUACCCAACCACAGGUAGUAAGUACUUAUAACAAUUUCAGUGUGGUGCGAUAGACCUGAUUGGUUGGUUUCCAAAUAUUUCACUUCUAUUUGAGGUAAACAAUGAUAUUGGACUCUUCACUUGAAUAAUUGAUACACGUAUCAUAAGUAUAUGAAUUAUUUACAGAUUUGUGAACAAAGACAAAAAUCUCAAAUCUGUUGGAUUUCAGAAGAGCCAUCUGCCUAGCUCUCUAAAUCACCAGAAGGAAGAAAGGGUCAUGCUCCUGGGGCUACUACUGUCCACAAUGGUGUCAGACUGGACAUGAGAGGCCAUCUUAUCUUCAAACUGUGGGAACAGUGAUGUGAGAACAAGUCAUAGGAGACAGCAGACAUCAGGAAUUCAGUGUGACCCUGUGUCUGAGGGGGUUGGCUCCUUCUCACUGUUGUGGAGCAGGUUGUCACAGCCGCUUCUUCGUAAACUGUGGGAUGUGCGCCCAAUGUCCUGUUCAUUGGAUGGCUUAUAUAUUUCUAAGAUAGUGUAUUGUUCCAGUGUCCUGUUUGUAGGUAUUUUUUUCCUCACUGAUAAUAAACGACAAAUAUGCUGCAGGUGAUGGUAAUGAUUUCCAAUGUACUAUAAUGCACCCAUGUCAUUGAAAUAUUUGCAGAAUUAAAAACUUGGAACUGGGCCAGGAUUCUGGCUUAGUGGUAGAGCACUUGCCUAGCAUGUGUGAGGCACUGGGUUCGAUUCUCAGCACCACAUACAAAUAAAUAAAAUUUAAAAUUUCA